AGCAGGCAUUAAACCAUAACUGGUAUAAAGAUGAAGAAUAAUGAUAUAAUAGCUCCAGUUGUCUUCUCUCCUAUACAACCUAAUGAUUAUCACUAGUGUUGGGAAAUUAAUUUUCAGAAUUUAUGAUUCUCCAGGAAAAGAGGCACCUGACAGAAGAAGAGCAGUGAAUGUCUCUUAAUCUUGAAGCUUUUUGAAAAACUGCAGUGGUAAUCAACAGUACUCAUCAGUAAUUUCCAACUGCAUGUUCAUCUACCUGAAGGAAAACCAGCCUGAAUCAAGAAGAAAGCGUUUCCCUUUAUUUGCUGUGCUAAAAUAAAGCUGUGCUAAGGGAACAUGAGGGCUGCAAAGGCACGCUUUCAGUAGGGGGAGGAGAUCCCAGGAUUAACACGGUAAAUCAGUCUGCUUAGUCACACUAAACUCUACUGACUUUCAACAAGACAGAGCUUUCAGCAGCAGUCCAGGAUCUCUGGAUUUUUCACACUGUGGAUGGACUUCCAGGGUGACUGGAGUUCAAGUCCUUUGCAUCUUAGAGAUACCUCCUUUGU